rnacentral:misc_RNA from 1 species
UUUGCCUAUGCUCGAAGAAAAGCCCAGUUCUCCGAUUUUGUCCUCUUCUUUGGUUAAAUCUUCUUUUACCCUCGAUUCACUUGAUUGUUUGAUCGUCGACGAUCUAUCUAUCACGUUACGAUGUACCUUUAUAAAUAUUGUCGAUACAGACGUUGUCCGACUCUGCGCACGCGCUGCCACAAGUAUAUGCUAGUAGUUUGCAUAGUCACGGUACUGCCUCACCGAUUUCCAGCACACUGGUGUUCCCUUCUCGCCACCACUUCAACUCUGCUCCGGUUAUGUAUAUUUAUAUCUUUUAGCAACAUCGAUCCGGACCUGGUAGGCUCCCUCUGUUGAAACUGGCCAAUCAACGAUUCGCUCACCCCACUACUAGUAUACAGCAGUCAUAUUGGGGACACGUCGAAUGUAUUUACGUUUGAGGACAAAACGUCGAUAUUUACCGGGCCACUGCAACCUUAGACAUUGCGACUUUUUACAUAGUAUUUUACAAAUCUGCGUGAAAAUAUCAACAGCGGUCAUGGAGGAAUCUGUUUCCAGCUGAACACGGAAGAUGGCAGGACGGUUCCUAAUCAAUACAAAUUGAUUGUUUGAUGCGUUGAAGCUGUUUUACCUUUCCCUACGCUAGUGGCGCUGCGUGAUAUUCUCAAUGUUAUCAUUCAUCAUAUCGAUAUAAUGUGGCGUUUACACUUUGGACACUUUUUGAAGCGACUGUGUUAUGUUUGAAUGCGAUCUGCGUUUUAAACGAAGAAAGAUUUCUUGCAAAAG